GGGCUUGUGGUUUAGUGGUAUAAUACUCCCUUAGCACGAGAUCCUCCUAUGAGAGCAUCUUCAUAAGACUGGGAGUGGUCCGGGGUUCGAUUCCCCGCGAGUCCA